rnacentral:rRNA from 1 species
AAUGAACGCUGGCGGCGUGGAUAAGACAUGCAAGUCGAACGGAGUUAGCAAUAAGCUUGCUUAAGGCAAACUCAGUGGCGAACGGGUGAGUAACACGUGAAUAAUCUGCCUUGAAGUGGGGGAUAGCCCUGGGAAACUAGGAUUAAUACCGCAUGUGGUCGAGAGACUAAAGCAGCAAUGCGCUUUGAGAUGAGUUCGCGUCCUAUUAGCUAGUUGGUGAGGUAACUGCUCACCAAGGCCUUGAUAGGUAGCCGGUCUGAGAGGAUGUCCGGCCACACUGGAACUGAGACACGGCCCAGACUCCUACGGGAGGCAGCAGUGGGGAAUUUUGGACAAUGGGCGAAAGCCUGAUCCAGCAAUGCCGCGUGUGUGAAGAAGGCCUUCGGGUUGUAAACUGCUUUUGUACGGAACGAAAAGCCCUGGGUUAAUACCCUGGGGUCAUGACGGUACCGUAAGAAUAAGCACCGGCUAACUACGUGCCAGCAGCCGCGGUAA